GUAAAGCUAAGGUGAAGACUGGAGGCGUGCUGCCUGGGCCCUCAUCUCCUCCCAGCAAAAACACAAGGAAUGUAUAUAUAUGCAUAUAUGUCAGGCCUCUGCUCAGGUAUUAGCGUGUUACUGACUUGUUUAUAUAGAAAUUAAAUAUGAUAUCAAUCCCUGUUUUCUACCCAGCAGCGGUUCUUUCUCCAUUCAUGACAGUCUUGGUUCGUUUUCACCCUUGAUUUCAGAAAGAAGGUGAACUCUUUCUUAUCACCUUGCUGCUGUGUGUGCAUAAUUUCAGAUAACAAGUAAAGAGCAGCCGCACAGGGAGCCUCUGAUCUCCCCGUUGUAUGCCUCCAGUAAAACAAAAGUGAAGACUGUGCUGCCUGACGCAUCAACACUUGCCAGCAAAAAGACAAUGAAGGUAUGCGUAUAUAUGAGCUUUCUGCCAAGUAUUAGCAUGGUGUUAUGUUUUUUUUAUUUCGCAUCGAUAGUAACCCUUGCUGUGGUAAUUGUGAGGUCUCUCCCUGUUUUGCUACUCCUUGGAGCUUUCCCGAUUCUUGAAACUGCUUUUGGUUUAUAUCGAAAAGAAGGCGAAGUGUUUCUGAUUACCUCGCUGAUGUGUCUGCAUUUUAGGUAACAAGGAAAUAGCAGCCGUGCACAGAGCCUUUGAUCUCCCCCUUGUAUGGUUCCAGCAAAACGAAGGCGGGGACUUGAGACGGGCUGUCUGGGGCAUCGUCACAUGCCAGCAAAAAGACAAGAAAGGUAAAUCUAUCAUGUUGCGUGCGUGCGUGCGUGCGUCUGCGUUUUGAUUUUCGGUUUGUGUUUUUUUCCGUCCUUGGGCGAAAUGGCCGAAUUUCGGGAAUUUCAAAUUUUUCGGCAAAAUCUCGGAUGAAAUUGCAAAAUCAAAAUUUGAAAAUUUGAUCAAAAUUCAACCGAAAUUUGGCCGAAAUUCGGCCGAAAUUCAAACAAAAUUUGAAAUAAAACAAAGCAUAAACAUAUCAGUGCAACAACCACCAGGAUGGAUCGAAUAAACUUCAGCAAAUAAGCUCUAGGGAUUAAUAAAACUACAUCUGUCCAACAUAUAGCAGGCGCACAUUAGUUAUAAAGUUUCCAACAACAUAACCAUUAACAGUCCAACAUCAUUUCAACCAUCACAGCGUAGUUCAUAGUUUAAAUAGUCCGGUACAGCCAACAGACUUAAAGGAUUACACAUAGAAAUAACAGCUCCAAAAGACAACCAUCAAAGCAUGACACUGAUACAGCAGCUCCAAGCUUGCCUACAUCCAAAAGCUUCUUGAUAUCCCUGGAUGUUCUUCACAUGCCAUUACUGCUUUAGAGAAAAUAGAGGAAGGGUCAGGAUGGAGGUAUUCUGCAUUGGAAUUAUCUUCUGCCACUUUGUGCAACAAAAAAUAAAAUGGAUUAUCAGGAGAAGUAGCUAGUAGAACAAUAUUCAAAUGUUAUGCAUGCUCAUGAAUCAAAUAACAAAUCUACUACAACAAUAUAGUUUUUAUUCACCAAAAAGCUUUAGGAACAAAGGUUAUGGCUCCAUAUACUAGAAUGAUGAAUUUUAGUUUAUAGUUUAUACUCCAACACAACAAAACUCUAAGGAUACAAAGAAAGCAACAUAGACACAAACAACCUGCUGUAUGCUUGGACUAGCCAUUUGUCAAUUGUCACACAAAAGGAAAAUCCAUGGUGAAAAAUGUGAAUCAAAAGUCAUGCAUAAGCUCAAGGUAUUGCAGGAUAAAUAUAGUGGUUAACAUACCUAUAAAAUAGCAGCUCCAAGCUUGCAUACAUCCAAAAGCUUCUUGAUAUCCUUAGUUCUUCAUGUGCCAUUUUUGGUUUAGAGAAAAUAGAGAAAGGAUCAGGAUGGAUGUAGUUCAACAUCAAAAAUUUCUUCUUCCACUUUGUGCAUAAUCAAAUAAAAUGGACUAACAGAGAACAUCACUACUAGGUGAUUGGUAGCAAUUAGAACAACACUGAUAGGUGAUAAGUAUAGCAACUACAACAGCAAUACAAGAUAAGUGGCAAUUAUAACAACACUACUAGGUGAUAAUUGACAAGUAGCAAUUAGAGCAGCAGUACUGAUCAUACACAGUGAGAAUAGAUAUUAGAGCGGAAACGCCAAAAAUAAGAGACUUACCAAAUCUACGAGUAGAGGCUGUUCACUUCCUUGGUCUUCUUCCUAACUAGUCGUCCAGAUCUACGAGUCUCCAAAUUGCCAACACUUGUUGCUGUCUCCUUUUCAGCUUGUACUUGUGUCUCUUCUUCCACUUGCAUUUGUGUCUCUUGCUGAUCUUGUUGGUCAUCCUCAUCAUCCUCACUCACCCCAUCAUCAUCCUCACUCUCAUUAUCAACAUACUCAUUAUCUUCGUCGUCAUCCUCACUCUCAGUUUCGACAUACUCAUUCUCCUAAUCAUGAUUCCUCUUUCUUUUCUUCUUAUUACCCUUUGUACCAACAUAAGAAUCCUUCCUGCCUGAGUUGAGAUGCCUUAUUUUCUCAAAAACAGCACUGGCUUCAUUAGCUCCAUCCACAAUUGGAUCCUCUUCAUCCUCAUUCAGCCACUCCAUUAUUGGAUUUGCUUCAUCAAACAUUGUUGUGUCCAUUAGCAGUGCACUUGGAUCAACUUCAUUAUCUAUAUCUUUCUCUUGGUCUUCUUCAGCACGUAUCUUCAAAGUUUGAAUAGUAAACCAAGUAAAUUAUAUGACAUGCAAGGACAAUACAAGGUUGACAAAGAAAGUAAAAUGAGUUAGUUUAUACCUUUAGGUUUUAGCGUACAGAAACUAGCUUGUGGAGCUUGUCAUAUAAAAGACGAUUUCUUUGCUUUGUGUGCACCAAAGCAAAGGCGCUCCAAUUCCUCUCGCACCCACUUGAUGAGACACAUUGUGAGCAAAUUCUCAUUGCACACUUCUGCAAUGCAGGAACAUCCCCUCCAAAUUGAAACCACCAUUGGGCUGCAAGAUAUCACCAAUGAAAUUUUUAGAAUUGCAAACAAAAAGGAGAUGAAAAUUCUAAAACUAAAGGACCAUGUCUUACUUGGCUCCAUUCUCGCCGCAGCUUCUUCUGCUAAUCUGGUCCCAAACCUCCCUUGGCACUCCCUAAACUUACUUACUUCAUCAGUGGCUGAAAGAGCACUCCUUGGAUCUAAUAUCUUCGCUAUCGCAUCUGUUAGUGAGGUAGCAUAAUCUGUAUGGUUGCAAAGGUUGAGCUUGUAAUGUGUAUAUGGAUCAAGGACAGUAGCUGCAUAAAAAUAGAGCAACAUGAAACAGAAAAAAAGAGAAAUAUAAAUUUCAAAAUUCCAUUCAUUUAUGAAUACCUGCAACCAUAAAUGUAUCUUCUUCCAUUGCCUCUAUCCUCUUGCCCACCUUGCGCAUGAAACUAAGGUACAACCUUGAUGUAGGGCCUAGAUGUGCUUCCAUCCCUUGUAUAGCGAGCAUCAUACUUUUCUUGAAUCCAGAAAGAGUGCAUUGUUUCUGUGUAUCAGCAUACCUCAUGGCCUUAUAAAGUGGCCUCAACGAACCCAAUACCCACUCUAGCGUGUUCCACCAAACAUUACUAGACAAACAUUCUUCAGCAAACACAUAUCCAGGCUCAUACCUCCACUGACACUCCUUCCAAUCAGUCGAAACCAUCCACUCCCUAAAUUUAUCUUUCUUCAAAUGGUAACUCUCAAGGAACAUGAAGACAGUCCCAAAACGGGUGGCAUUUGGUCUAAUUAGUUCACCACCUAUGUUCUUCAUGUUAUCAUGUAGGUUAUUGUGCUUAUGCAAGAACCUACAGAUUGUCUUGGCACUCUUGACUAUCACAUCAAGCUCGGGAAAUUUGGCUAUAUCUUUUAACAUAAGAUUGACGGUGUGGGCAGCACACGGUUGCCAAACAAUAUGAGAGUAUUUUGGUUCUUCUAUAAGGGUUUUGCAAGCUUUCUUAUAGUUGGACCCAUUAUCGGUUACUAUUUGAACAAUAUGUUCAUGGCCUAUCUCUUCUACAACCUUCUCAAUCUCUCUAUAGAUAAAGUCUGCAAAAUUAUGUAAAAUGCAUAUACCUAAUUAGAACAAAGCAAGUAUUUUAAGAACAUAAGACAAUUGUAAGACAGAUCCAAGAAUUGAACAAGAAAGUAUUGUAGGAGCAUAUGUAAAAUGCAUAUAUACCUAAUUAGAACUAGGCAUUGAGAACAUAAAACAAUCCUAAAACAGAUUCAAGUAUUCAAGAAGCAAGUAUUCUAAGAACAUAUGUGAAAUGCAUGUAUAGGACAAAUACAAGUGUUCAAGAAGCAAGUAAAAUGCGAAGAAGGGGAGGAAGAAGUAACCUGAAUUCUGAGUCUGACCGGAUGCAUCAAUGGUAUUGAGGAAGAACAUUCGUGUAUUACAAUAUACCAUGAAGUUUAUGAGGCUCAUUCCUGUUGGACCAGUCCAAGAGUCACACAUAAGAGUCACACCGAAGUUUUUCCAAUCUUGUUUAAAUUUUUGAAGAAAGGAAGUAGCUUCAUCAUAGUUAGCCUCCAAAUAUUUCCCAUCAAUCUCCUUCGCGGUUGGUAUAGGAGCAGGCCCUAAUUGUUGACUGAUCUUCACAGCAGCUCGGAAGUAUGGGCAAUCAGCUUUACGUCCAGCAAUAUCAUUGGCAUGAAAAAACUUGGACCAAGCUAGGCCAAGUGCAUCUCUUGAAUUAGGAUCCAAAGCACUAGUGAUCUUGGGCUGCAUAGAUACUUUGUUGCUGGAUAAUUGUUUGUCAAAAUAGGCAGUGAUACUCCUUUUGCCAAUAGAAACCCGCACAUCACCCACGCCCCCCUACCAAUCCUCCUUUCAACUCUGCGGGAGACAUUCGGGUCACGCAAGGCCUCUCUAAUAUUCAUCUGUAUUUCUUCUUCAUCAUCAUCUAGUAUGUUAAUCACCCCUCCUUUUUGAUACAACCCUUCCAUAAUAUUUCUUUCAAUUCUCAGCCUGCUAUUUUGUUUGUCUCUUUUCUUCCUCUUUGAUUCAUCCCGGCACUCUCUCAUUGCAUCUCUCACAUUUCUUGGCACAUUGGGGCAGCUCCUCACAUUACCUACAAUACCACCAAGGUGCUCCGCAACACGGGUUGCACCUCCACCUUUGUGCUUUAGGCUGCAGUACACACAAUCAAAACCCCCAUAAUACGGCCAUGCAUGGUUCCAAGGAUCAUACAAGUUAUUAUCUUUAAUUCCUGCAUUGCAAAGUUACAAACAACAUCACUUCAAUUGAAGCUAGCAAAUGAAGAUCAUGGUUCCAUUUGCAUCGUGUGAACAAGCAAAGCAUAGUAAUACCUUUCCAAGAUUUUUGGGAAUCAUUUGCAUUUGCAUCAUGGUUGCCACUACCACUCCUAUUUGCAUUUCCAUUACCUGAAAAUCACAUGACAAAAGAACAACGGUCAGCUAUGAAGAAUAGGUAACUAAGGAAGCCACACUUGCUUACUAGGGUGUCCCCAUAUGAAUGAUAAACAAAAACAGUACAACCCGAUCUACUAGGGUGUCACUUGCUUACUUAAUGGUAUUGCUGACCAUUCAAAUUAAUCAUUGGGUCAACAUCUACUUACUUAAAUACACACGCAACACAACUGCUUUUUAUUGGACGUGCUGUAGAUCUAAAUAAAUGAUCGAUUCAAACAUCAGAUGCUUAUUCAAAUAUACAAGCCAGUGGUUGGAUGUGAUAAAAGACACUAUAACAUUGCGCACAGGAAUCAUCUCAACAGCUCAAAACGCAAGCACACAACUCGGAUUUAUGGAACGAUUGUAUAUUUGAGGAUGUUAAUAACAAGGUUUGUAACCCAGUUUUCUUUUGGACCAAAAUAAAUAUUACCAGAUCGUGAGCAUCCUUGGUGACUAAAAGCAAAAUAUGCAUGAAAACAGAUGUGAAUCAUACAAAAUUACAUGGUAAUAGAGCACAUCUUGCUUCCUCCAUCCUUUGGCAGUCAGGCUCAUUAAUUGUUGGUUGCCGACUCGUCGCAGCAAGCAGUCCGAUGCAGCAACAAGCAGGAAGCUAUACUCGUACAACAAUCGAUCAAGCUGCUUGUAAUAGCUAGCUAGCUGUGUACGUACAAUUAAUCAAGCUGCUUGUAAUAGAUAUAUAGCUUUGUACGGAUUGCUGCUUCAAGUAGGAAGAUAUAAAGGCAUCAAGAACAUCAAGAACAUCUAUACCUUCCCAACCAAGAGGACACCCUCCAUGCUGCUGCCGCUGCCCCGUGCUCCUGCCUCCGUUGAACUGGUUGGCUCGCGCACCAUCACCUCCGUUGCCGCAGCCGCCGAGCACAAUGCCGCCGUCUUGAAGAAGCAAUGGACAGGGAGUGGAUGGGGUGGAUGCGAGGAGACGUGGAUGGCGGCAGGAGGCUAGUGAGCGCCGGCAAGAUGCGGAGGACGUGGGAGAAGCAGCGCUCGAGUGAGAUGUGUCUGCUGAUCUGCUCAAUGUGCAGCGGCGGCGCCGCACACGGGAGGAGCCAGAGGAAAUCGCGAACUAGGGUUAGGGCGAUUGGUUUCGUUGUUUUAUGUGAGCAGAAGCGUAACAGGAAGGCUCUGGAAGCUGGGUCGGGCCAGAUAAAUUCAAAUUGGGCUGAAUUGUUCGGCCGAAAGGCCCAUAUGUCAGGCCCAGGCGAGACGGCCGAAAUUCAGCCGAAAAUUGUUUUUUUCGGCCGAAAAUCAAAACGCAGGCGUGCGUGCGUGCGUGCGUGCGCGCGCGCGCGGAAGAGAAGGCAGACAUAAUGGAGGAGAUGAGCUGCGAUGAGGAGUCCCCGGUACCAAGUGUGCAUUGCAACAGAGCAAUGAAUUGAGGGCAAUGUGCAUAUGGAUUCAGCCCUAAAAUUGCUGACGAAAUCUGAAUGUUCAACCAUAAUAGCAAGCACUUUAUGCUCAAAACUAGCUCUGAUGAUAUGUUGCACAUCAUCAUCACAUCUAAUUUUGACCAAACCAUCUGCAAUUGAUUUGUUAGGCAAGCACCACUAAAUUUUGUGCUCAUCACUUCAUAUCCCAAGCAAGUCGGGAGCUCUGGAAUGACAGCAUAUGAGAAUGUGGUAGCAUAAACAUAAUCAAGAAACUCCACUGAAGGGUCCCGGUACUCCAAAUUACUUAUUGGUCCAUAGAAAAUUCCACCAUGCUCAAGUUGACACUACUAGGGAAAACCCUAGUAGUAGCGCGGGUUUUGAGGCUAUCAGCAGCGCGGGCACCCGCGCUACCAAUAAGGCGCUACAGCUAACUGUUAGUAGUAGCGAUGUCUGUGCCCGCGCUACUACUAUUGACUACAUCAGUAGCGCGUUUUCGGAACGCGCUACUAUUAGUUAGCUGUAGCGAUUUCCUGAGCCCACGCUACUGUUAUAUCUUUCACCAUUUCCCCACUCCAGCUUCAAUAAACUGCAAUUUCUAGAUACUAGGUACUACUAGAUAUCAAUUUCAUAAAGCAUUAUAGGUACUAGGUAGUACUCCCUCGGUUCCAAAUUACUCGUCGUGGUUUUAGUUCAAAUUGGAACUAAAACCACGACGAGUAAUUUGGAACCGAGGGAGUACUAGAUAACAAUUUCAUAUAUACUCAAUAUGCAUCCUCAAGCAGUACAAGGUGGCAUCAACGACGAUCAUCAUAUGUAGUUCUAGAUGAUAUCGACGACGAUCAUCAUAUGUAGUUCUACAUGAUAUCGACGACGAUCAUCAUAUGUAGUUCUAGAUGAUAUAGCCACACACACAUAUGUAGUUCUAGAUGAUAUCGACGACGAUCAUCAUCCUCAAGCCUGGGCGGUGGGUGUUCCUGAUAGUAAUUAGGAUGGCCUGUCCAACACGAAGAUUCUUGCCAACGAGGAAUCUCUUCCACCCAACCGAGUUUAAGUGUGUGCGACCGUCUGUGUCCAUGUGGUAAGUACAGGUGGUGACGGAGCCCCUUCCGGUAAGGCGUAGUCCAGCUGAGCCUUCUUCAUCAGGCUCGAUACCACAACUCACAGAUAGGUUCUUUGGCAAUUUCUGAAUAAGAAAAACAUAUCAAUUAAUAAAUAGCCUCACACAUACUCUUGCAAAUAUAUUUCUAUUAAGUCUAGAUUUCUACACUAUCAAAAGACACUGUACUAUGCAUUUGUACUAAUUAAUCAUGAAUUCUACUAAUAAGUAUAUAUGGAUUAUCUACACUAUUAAUAGUUCCUUGAAUUCUGCACUAAUAAGCAUGUGAUCAGACUCUACACUAAAGCAUAUCAACGACUAGAUUCCACAAAACAUAUCAUUGGACUCUACACUAAGCAUAUCAUCGGAUAGUUUGCAUUUGUAAGUAUAACAUACCAUAUCAUGUCGAUCGACCAUGGUACUUGUCAGGCGGGUCAUGAAUGGCACCCCGACAAAGUCAACACGUGGUGGAAUUAUGUCCCAUAGGUUGCACACCUCCUCCUCGCUCAGCCUCAUUCUCUGAGCUACGAUGGCUUCAUGAAGUGGGUUCUCAUCAUCUUCAUCGAGUGGGUCCUCAUUAUCUUCAUCAUCUUCUUCAUCUGCAUCAUCUUCGUCAUCUUCAUCAUCUUCGUCAUCUUCAUCAUCUUCCACCAGGUUGAGAUAAAUGACAGUCAGCUUGGGUCUUUCUGCUCUGAAGGAGAAGCUGAUCAACUCACCACCAGUAAGACGCAUGCAGGCGAGGAAACGGGCCCAUCCAUCUCCUCCAAUCUGCGACAUAUUGCGUCCUUUCUCGACCUCUAUAGUGUACGGCCCCCAGGUGCCUCAAAUGUCACAGUGUCUCCUGUCAGCUUGUUGAAUGUCAACCUCACAUUGCAUGGGACGAUCUGUGUAAGAAAAGAAAAAUGACACAAUGCAGUAAUGCCAACACUAAAAAUAAAGUAGUUGUUACAUUUCAUCUAAUUUCUUACCGCCGCAUGACGAAAACUCGGAUGGAAGUAGAUGCCAAAUAGCUUGCCAGUUGCAAGGCUGCUGGCUCACCUUGACUUGCACAGUCGACAUAGUGGUGGUGGUGGUGGCGCCAUUUUCCUAAAGCAAUAUGAGCAAAGGAUUAAUGAUUCACUUCACAGGAAAGAAAAACAGUAGCAUAGUGGUGGUGGCGCCAUUUUAUGGACAUAUUAGAUGACAAGGUACCACGUACCAAAGCAUUUCGGUGGCACCUAUUGCCGAAAAAAUAACAAUAAAAUGGUUCAUACUAAAUCAACUAAAUCAACUAGCAUACUAAAUCCACUAGCAUACUAAAUCAACUAAAUCAAAAUGUUCUAAAUCAACUAAAUCAACUAGCCUACUAAAUCAACUAAAUCAACUAGCCUACUAAAUCAACUAAAUCAACUAGCCUACUAAAUCAACUAAAUCAAAAUGUUCUAAAUCAACUAAAUUAACUAGCCUACUAAAUCAACUAAAUCCGAAUGUUGCAUAUCAACUAAAUCAUAAUGUUGCAUAUGAACUAGCCUACUAAAUCAAAAUGUAGCAGGGAGGAGAGAGAAGGAGGGGCGACUCGAGGAGGGAGAAGAGAGUAGGAUGGAGGAGGAAGGCGGAGCGAGGAGGGGCUGGCCGGCAGCGAGUGGAGGGAGAAUGGAGGAGGAAGGCGGAGCGAGGAGGGGUCGGCCAGCGGCGAGUGGAGGGAGAAUGGAGNNNNNNNNNNNNNNNNNNNNNNNNNNNNNNNNNNNNNNNNNNNNNNNNNNNNNNNNNNNNNNNNNNNNNNNNNNNNNNNNNNNNNNNNNNNNNNNNNNNNNNNNNNNNNNNNNNNNNNNNNNNNNNNNNNNNNNNNNNNNNNNNNNNNNNNNNNNNNNNNNNNNNNNNNNNNNNNNNNNNNNNNNNNNNNNNNNNNNNNNNNNNNNNNNNNNNNNNNNNNNNNNNNNNNNNNNNNNNNNNNNNNNNNNNNNNNNNNNNNNNNNNNNNNNNNNNNNNNNNNNNNNNNNNNNNNNNNNAGUGGCGAGUGGAGGGAGAAUGGAGGACGAAGGUGGAGCGAGGAGGGGUCGGCCAGCGGCGAGCGGAGGGAGGACGGAGGAGGAGGCCGAUACCGAGUCCAGCGAGGAGGAUGAGGUGACGGCGGUGCAGAUCGGAGGAGGGGCGACAGGGGAGGACUGGCGGCCCGGGGGUUGAGGGGGAGAGAUCGAGUGUGUGUGUGAGUGUGAUCUGGAUCGGAUAUGUGAGUGGGGGGAGAUGGAAUGGCUUAGCAGUAGCGCGCUAUAGCAAAAUGCGCUACUGCUAAACGACCUAUCAGUAGCGCCUUUGGCCGAGAAUGCGCUACUGCUAUGUUAGACAUAGACAUAAAAAUACAUUGAUCAUCAGUUGUCUUUUUGUGUACAAUCUGAUUUGUCAAUAGGAAUCCUCGACGGUUGGUUUAAGAACAGGCGAGGAUUCCUAUUGCGGCCACAGAUCCUAUACAUAGAGUUCAAUGAAGACCAAGUGCUUGUGAAAGUUGUAGAAGUAACAUAUUUAAGGUGGUACAAACUCUCUUCACGGAGCGAGGUGGGACUAAAUUUUUGUAGUAACCUUAGUAGAAGCGAUUAUUGCGUAAAUGCGCUGCUGCUACGAUCCGUAGCAGCAACGCGCUUUGUAUUAACGCACUGCUGCUAUAAUUGGCCUCGCGGUGGCGUCGUGGGAAUUUUAGCAGUAGCGCGUCCUAGAGUGUGCGCGCUACUGAUAAACUUGUACCAGCAACGAGUUUUGAUAGCGAGUGCUACUGCUACGUAGCAGCAGCGCCUGAUUUUAAAGCGCGUUGCUGGUAAGAUUCUAUGUAUAGGCUUUUCCCUAGUAGUGUGAAGUGUAAAGAAAGUGGUGUCCACCAUUUGUCCAUUUGUUGAAUCAUACACCACAUCAAAUAAGUGUACAUUGUGAGCACUUACCUUUAGCAUCAACAUAAGUGAAAAACAAAGAUGUAUAUAGUUAACUAGAUUUUUCAGUCCACUGUAGUUAACUGGACAAAUCUGUGAAGUGUAGUUAACUGAAAAAAUUCAGUUAACUUCAGGGAACUAAAAAUUUUAGUUAACUACUGUGAACUUAAAAAUUCAGUCAAAUGAAAAAAUUCAGUUAACGUGAGCAGACUGAAUUAGGUAGCAUUGAACAUAAGCAAUUGGUGGCAUUGCACACAUGAGCAUGAGCAUGACCAUUGCAAACCUAAGCAUGAGCAUUGAACACCUGAGCAUGAGCAUGACCAUUGCCCAUCAUUGGAAUAUACAAGCCAUAUUCUAUAAUGAAAAAUUCCCACUAGUAUAUGAAUGUGACAAAAUAGGAGACUCUCUAUAAUGAAGAGCAUAGUGCUACUUUGAAGCACAAGUGUGGUAAAAGGAUAGUAACAUUGUCCCUUCUCUCUUUUCUCUCAAUUUUUGAUGAGCUUCUUUGGCCUCUUUUUUUUUUAAACUACGGAGACACAUCCCAACUUGUGAGGGAAUCAUAGCUUCCGUCAUCCUUUCCUCAUUUGGGACAAUGCUCUAAUAAUGAAGAUCAUCACACUUUUAUUUCUUACAACUCAAGAAUUACAACUCGAUACUAGAAAAAUAUAUGACUCUAUAUGAAUGCCUCUGGCAGUGUACCGGGAUGUGCUAUGAUCAAGACUGAUAUGUAUAAAAAAAUAUGAAGGAUGGCUUUGCCACAAAUACUAUGCCAACUACAUGAUCAUGCAAAGAAAUAUGACAAUGAUGACGCUUGUCAUAAUAAACAGAACCUUGAAAGUUUUAUGGCAAUAUAUCUCAGAAUGGCUAUGGAAAUGCCAUGAUAGGUAGGUAUGGUGGCUGUUUAAGAAAUGAUAUAUGGUGGGUUUAAUGCACUGGCGAAAGUUGCACGGUACUGGAGAGGCUAGCAAUGGUGAAAGGGUGAGAGUGCGUAUAAUCAAUGAACUCAACAUUAGUCAUAAAGAACUCACAUACUUAUUGCAAAAGUCUAUAAGUCAUCACAACAAAGCACUACACGCAUACUCCUAGGGGAAGGGUUGGUAGGAGUUAACCAUCACGCAAUCCCUACCUCCACACAAAGGAUGGCAAUCAAAAAAUAAAUCAUGCUCCGACUUCAUCACAUAACGGUUCACCUUACGUGCAUGCUACGGGAAUCAUAAACUUUAACACAAGUAUUUCUACCAAUCCACAAUUACUCACUAGCAUGUCUCUAAUAUCACCAUCUUUAUGUCUCAAAAGAAAUGCAAGGAAUCAAACUUCUCAUAGUAUUCGAUGCUCUUUUUUAUGAAAGUUUUUAUUAUAUCCGUUUUGGAUGCCUAUCACAUUAGGACUAAAUUCACGACAUAAGUUCAUCAAUUUCUAUAAAAUAAAGCCACCGCCGCGCUCUAAAAAUAUAUAGGUGAAGCACUAGAGCAUGUUGCCUAGCUCAAGAGAUAUAAGUGAAGCACAUAGAGUAUUCUAAUAAAUUCAUGAUUAAUGUGUGUCCCUCUCAAAAGGUGGGUACAACAAGGAUGAUUGUGGCAAACUAAAAAGAAAAUAAGCAUAUCAUACAAGAUGCUCCAACCAAAACACAUAUCAUGUGGUGAAUGAAAAUAUAGCCUCAAGUAAAUUUACCGAUGGAUAGAAGACAAAAGAGGGGAUGCCAUCCGGGGCAUCCCCAAGCUUAGAUGCUUGGUUGUCCUUGAACAUUACCUUGGGGUGCCUUGGGCAUCCCCAAGCUUAGGCUCUUGUCACUCCUUAUUCUGUUGACCAUCAACUCUUUACCCAAACCUUGAAAACUUCACAAUACAAAACUCAACAGAAAACUCGUAAGCUCCAUUAGUAUAAGAAAAGCAAAUCACCACUUUAGGUACUGUUGUGACCUCAUUCUAAAUUUAUAUUAGUGUUAUGUCUACUAUAUUACAACUUCUCCAUGGUUCAUACCCCCCGACACUACCAAUAGAUUCAUCAAAAUAAGCAAACAACACAUAAAAAAACAAUCCGUCAAAACCGGAAUAGUCUGUAGCAAUCUGAAAACUUGGAAUACUUCUGUAACUCUAAAUCUGAAAAAUUAGGAAAACCUUGGAAAUUCGUAUAUAUCAAUCUUGUGUAAAAAAUCAGAAGGUUUCAUCGCUUCUGCGAAUUUUAAAAAUUCUUCUACUGCAUGCAAAAGUUUCCAUUUUUCAGCAAGAUGAAAUCAACUAUCACCGUAGACCAUCCUAAAGGUCUUCUUGGCUCAAACACUAAUGGAAACACCAAAAACAAUUACUAUAGCAAUCUCAAUACAACGAGAAGUAAUUUAGUAACAUGAAAAUUUCUACCACAAUAUUCCUCUCUCAUAAUAAUUACAUGUAGGAUCAUAUGAUAUUCUCUACAUGAUCCACAUGCAUGCAAAGUUUGAUCAUACUAAAGUCAUGACCUCUCCAAACCCACUUUUAUCAAAAAUUUCAUAAGAUUGAUCAUUAUCCAACAUAAUGGGAUAAUUUUUAAAUAGAGUUGACACUCUUCCAAACUCACUUUCAAUAUUAUUGCAAGCAUUAUUAUCAAUAUCAUAUUCAUCAUGAGGCUUAAAUAAAAUUUCAAGAUCAUAAGAAGCAUUAUCACCCCAAUCAUUAUCAUCGCAAUAAGCAGUGUACGUAGCAAAAUUAGCAUCCCCAAGCUUGGGGGUUGAUAACAACAUCAUGUCAAUCAUGCUUUUCAUUCAAGGAGUUAUCGUGAAUCACUUCAUAAAUUUCUUCUUUUAACACUUCAUCAUGAUUUUUAGAUUUACGAAUUCCAAGAAAAACUUCAUAAAGAUAACCUAGUGCACUCAACUCACUUGAAAUAGGUUCAUAUUAAUUGGAUCUCUUAAAAAUAUUAGCAAGUGGAUGAGGAUCCAUAACCUCUUUGCUUUAUGAUUUUCAAUAAACACACAAUUAUACCAAGCAAACAAGCGAACAAACAAAGUAAGACAUAAGGGCAAACGAAAAGGCGCAUGGAAAGAAGGCAAAUAAAAAGGAGAAUAUUUUUCUGUUUUUCUGAAAGUAUUUUAGAAGUAGGGGAGAGGAAAGCGAGAGGCAAAUGGAAAAUAGUGUAAUGCAAUAGAUGAGAGUUUAUGAUGGAACUUGGUAGGAUUGAUGUAGAACCUUCUCGACAACGGCACUAGAAAUUCUUCCUACUACUUGAGCUUGCGUUGGUUUUACCCUUGAAGAGGAAAGGGUGAUGCAACAAAGUAGAGAAAAGUAUUUCCCUCAGUUUGAGAACCAAGGUAUCAAACCAGUAGGAGGUACGAGCAAGUCUCCAAUCUAUGCACCUGCACAAACAAUCAAACACUUGCACCCAACACGAUAAAGGGGUUGUCAAUUCCUUCACGGUCACUUGCAAGGAUGAGAUCUAAUAGAGAUAGAUAUAAAAGAUAACUAAAACAUAAAACAAAGUAAAAACAAUAAAUUGCAGUAAGGUAUUUUUAGGUUUUUUGUUUUAUAGAUCUGAAAAUAUAUGAUGGAAAAUAGACCUUGAGGCCAUAGGUUUCACUAUAGGCUUCUCUCUUGAAGAAAGCAUACGGUGGGUGAACAAUUUACUGUCGAGGAAUUGAUAGAAACGAGAAUAAUUGUGAUGAUAUCCAAGGCAAUGAUCAUGAAUAUAGGCAUCACAUCCGUGACAAGUAGACCGACUCCUACCUGCAUCUACUACUAUUACUCCACACAUCGACCACUAUCCAGCAUGCAUCUAGAGUAUUAAGUUUAUAAGAACGUAGUAAUGCCUAAAGCAAGAUGACAUGAUGUAGAGGUAUAAACUCAAUCAAUAUGAUAUAAACCCCAUAUUUUUACCCUUGAUGGCAACAAUACAAUACAUGCCUGGAUACCCCUUAUGUCAUUGCGUGAGGACACCGCAAGAUUAAACCCAAAACUAAGCACCUCUCCCGUUGCAAAAAAAAAACCAAUCUAGUUGGCCAAACCAAAUUGAUAGUUCAAAGAAAAAUGCAAAUAUAUCUUAAUCAUGCAUAAAAGAUUUCAGAGAAGACCCAUAUAAUAUUCAUAGAUAAAUUGAUCAUAAACUCACAAUUCAUCGGAUCUCAACAAACACACCGCAAAAAGUAUUACAUCGAAUAGAUCUCAAAGAACAUCAAGCAGAACAUUGUAUUGAAGAGCAAAGAGAGAAAAUAAGACAUUAUGGACCCGUAGGUCUAUGGUAAACUAGUCACACAUCAUCGAUAGGGCAAUUGGAUUGAUGUACAAGCCCUUUGUGAUCGAAUCCCCCUUUGGCAGAUCGCCGGAAAAUGCCCCAAGAUGGGAUCUCACGAGAAUAGAAGCUUGCGGCAGUGGAAAAGUAUUUUGGUCGAUGCUUCUGUUGGUUUGGGAAUAUUUGGGAAUUUAUAGACCAAGAAUUAGGUUUGGAGACUCCCGUGGGACCCACAAGCCAGGGGCGCCCCCCUAAGGCGCGCCCUGAGGGCUUGUGGUCCCCCGGGUCUCUUCUGGCCCCCUCUCCAAGCUACGUGGAUGUCUUCUGGUCCUAGAAAAAUCAUCAUGAAAGUUUUAUUCCGUUUGGCUUCGUUUGAUGUUCCUUUUCUCUAAAGCUCGAAAACAAGGAAAAAAAACAAAAACUGACACUAGGCUCUAGGUUAAUAGGUUAGUCCCAAAAAUAAUAUGAAAUAACACAUAAAUGCAUAUAAAACAUCCAAGAUAGAUAAUAUAAUAGCAUGGAACAACCAAAAAUUAUAGAUACGUUGGUGAUGUAUCAUUGGCUUGCUGAUGAGGCAAAGCAUUUUAUUCUUCAGAUUUGUUCAGAAAGAUAUCCAAGACAUCUGGUUCCACGUGAGUAGCACCAGCAGGAAUGUGAACUUGCACAGGGCUGGCUUGUUGCAUGGGUUUAUCCUCAUGAGGUGGAGAUGGUGGAACUUGGUGGAGAGGUGUGCUUGAAUCAGUCGGAGCACCAAGAGUUGUCUCAGGGCAAGGAGGCUUGAUUCCUUUUGGCUUGCUAGCCAUAGCCUUAGACUUUUGAUGUUUCUCUUCCGUUAUUCUUAGUUGUGCAAGAUCAACCUGGCAAGCAUUUCGUCAUUCUUUCGGUCACACAGCUGAGGCAAUUGCAUUUUCAGACGCGAGUGCCAUUCAAUCUUGUCAUUUCUCAUGACACUUAGAGCUUUUGUGAGAUCAAGAAUCUCUUUAUUCAGGCCUUUCCUUUUAGAUUCGUUACUAGCAUCUUUCCUCAUUUUCUCGAGAGUUUUCUUGUCCUCAACCGCUUGAUUCAGCUUCUCGGUCCUGUUUACCAUCUCAACAAAAUGUUUCCUUACUAGCUUGGUAACAUCAUGAGGAAGACCCAAACUGCUAAAAUUAACUAAUUUUACAUUGUAGGCAACAUUUUGAAUAACAUCAAUCAUGAGAUCAAUGUCAUAUUUCUAUUCCUUUGUGAAAGCAGGAACACUGGUUUUGGCUUUCUUCGGAAAACCAACAGCUUUCUCUACGGGGAGCAGCUUUCUCUUCGCGGUGGGGGCGGCGGAAUCCGAAGGUUUAUCAGAAACUGGAGCGGGUGCAUGUCUUGGUGACGUCCUAACUGGGGGUGAAUCUUUCAUUAGUGACGGAGUUUGGUAUUGCUUGGUUAGAAGAUGAGGCGGAAGCUGCCUUCUUGUAUUUUCUGGCAACAUAUUUCUUUCUGGGAGGUCGAGGGGAAACUGGUUUACUUGCCUUGCUUUCCUUUUAGACAGAGGGACGAUCCUUUUUCUUUUGUACGUCUUGCCGAGCCAGCGUGAUGUUUCGAUCUUCGACUUGAUUUUUCUUCGCAGCCCUUGCUUCACUCUUAGCUUUGUCUUUUGCUCUCUUUUCUACUUCUUCGGGAAAAUCAGCAAUUGUUUUCAG
rnacentral:lncRNA from 1 species